rnacentral:rRNA from 1 species
CGCGUAGGCGGUCAGCACAAGUCAGUUGUGAAAUCUCCGGGCUUAACUCGGAAAGGUCAACUGAUACUGUGCGACUAGAGUGCGGAAGGGGCAACUGGAAUUCUCGGUGUAGCGGUGAAAUGCGUAGAUAUCGAGAGGAACACCUGCGGCGAAGGCGGGUUGCUGGGCCGACACUGACGCUGAUGCGCGAAAGCCGAGGGGGAGCGGAACG